rnacentral:rRNA from 1 species
GAUGAACGCUGGCGGCGUGCCUAAUACAUGCCAGUCGAGCGAACGGACGAGAAUCUUGCUUCUCUGAUGUUAGCGGCGGACGGAAGAGUAACACGUGGAUAACCUACCUAUAAGACUGGGAUAACUUCGGGAAACCGGAGCUAAUAACGGAUAAUUUUUUGAACCGCAGGGUUCAAAAGUGAAAGACGGUCUUGCUGUCACUUAUAGAUGGAUCCGCGCUGCUUUAGCUAGUUGGUACGGUAACGGGCUACCAAGGCAACUAUGCAGAGCCGACCUGACAGAGUGGUAGCCCGCACUGGAAGUGAGACAGGGUCCCGACUCCUGCGGGACGGACCAGUAGCGAAUCUUCCGCAAUGGGCGAGAGCCUGACGGAGCGGCGCCGCGUGAGUUAUGAAGGUGUUCGGAUCGUAAAACUGUGUUAUUAGGGAUGAACAGAUGUGUACGUAACUGUGCCCAUCUUGACGGUACCUAAUGAGAAAGCCCCGGCUAACUACGUG